GUAAGCAACGUUAAUGCGACUAUACUCUAGCCCGUAAACUCAUUACUAGUGAAAACGGCUAAACCGGUUGCAAUUUGAUCGUCUUUAAAAGGCUUUGGUAUUUGCUUGAUCUCUGCAGUAGAUGGAUUCCAGAGCAUAAUACCAUCCUCCGCACUCCAAAGAUUAUUCAUUAAAACCAAACCACUACAAGAACUAUAAAAACAAGCACGCUUUUUAGAUUUGAAUGGAUCCUGGAUAAUCUUAACAUCAAACUCAGUUUUUGGUGAUAAAGGUGACGAUGAACCAGCCAAGUUAAUUUUGAACAUGGCAUUCCCAGAUUCUCUUUUAGUAGAGUGAAUAAGUAAAGUGAAGUUAUGAUUUGUGAUGCUACGAUUGAGAAUCACAUCAUCUGGGAGGCUGACGAUCCUUUUUGCUUCUUCUUCUUUAUUUCUUGAGGAUGGUGCUGGCAUUUGUGAGAGUUUUUGCUUUUCUUUCGUGGUUUUCUUCAUGGUUGUAUGACUUGAUAUGCAUAGGCUACAGGGGAGGAGAUAGAGCUGCUGGUGUUUACAAUGAAUAAUAGAGUGAAAGACACGGAAAGGAUGAGUUCUAAAGUUCUUAGGUUUGGAUUUACUGUUUAACCUAAUUUUACCAGGCUAAAAUUACUUGGUGUUAGUGUAUUCUGGAUCAUACCGGCGAAUUUUGUGCCAAGCCCUAUAUUUACAUGGAUUUUGGGUUACAUGCAUAGAUUUUGGGUCAUGGUCAGAAAAAAAUACAGUAUAAUAACUGUCCAACUUUAGGUCACUCGUGAUGUUGGAUUGCUAAGUAAAUCUUUGGGACGAUUUCAGUGUCCCCAAGCAAAUUAUAAAAGGUGAUAUGUAUCACAAGCAGAGUAGGUAUAAGCAAAUGUAUAUGUGAUUUUUUGAUUUCUUGGUCUUUCGAGGAACAACCCAUUAUCUAAUUUCAAGAUAAUCUUACG